GUCUCUACAAGUGCGUCCAUGUCUGGGCCAUGUCUUGUACUGCAGCUUAAGAGGUCUCUACAAGUGCAUCCAUGUCUGGGCCAUGUCUUGUGCUGCAGCUUAAGAGGUCUCUACAAGUGCGUCCAUGUCUGGGCCAUGUCUUGUACUGCAGCUUGAGGUCUCUACAAGUGCAUCCAUGUCUGGGCCAUGUCUUGUGCUGCAGCUUAAGAGGUCUCCACAAGUGCGUCCAUGUCUGGGCCAUGUCUUGUGCUGCAGCUUAAGAGGUCUCUACAAGUGAAUCCAUGUCUGGGCCAUGUCUUUGCAUCCAUGUCUGGGCCAUGUCUUGUGCUGCAGCUUAAGAGGUCUCCACAAGUGCGUCCAUGUCUG